UACAGGGGGGGCAAGCGUUGUUCGGAAUUACUGGGCGUAAAGGGUUCGUAGGUGGCCAACUAAGUCAGACGUGAAAUCCCUCAGCUUAACUGGGGAACUGCGUCUGAUACUGGAUGGCUUGAGUGUAGGAGAGGAAUGCGGAAUUCCAGGUGUAGCGGUGAAAUGCGUAGAUAUCUGGAGGAACACCGGUGGCGAAGGCGGCAUCCUGGACCAACACUGACGCUGAGGAGCGAAAGCCAGGGGAGCAAACGGG
rnacentral:rRNA from 1 species